GACAGGAAGACCAGGACCCCAUGCUACGGCCUGGCACGAGACUUUAUGUAUGUUAUGACAGGAAGACCAGGACCCCAUGCUACGGCCUGGCACGAGACUAUGUUGGGACUAAUUGGUGACAGGUUCACCCUUGAUGUGGAUUGUCUGUGAUAUGAUGCAUUUCAUGAAAGCAUGAACUUUAAUAAGAUGUUUUUAGUUUCUGCUCACUGGGCUUUUAGCUCACCCCUCUCCCCUAACCCCAGGUUUGCAGGUACGGGAGUGAUAGAGAAGAAAAGAAGAGAAAAGUCAUAUGUAUGUAAUAGCUAGAGCAUGUGGACAUGACAAAUGAUAAGAAUGUAAUGUAAUUAUGUUAUUGAGGAUAGAGUUGUGCUUGACCAUAGUAUAUGUUAAUCCCUUGGUAUGUACAUGAUCUUGUGUUUUGAUAUUGAUGUAAACCAACUCACCAUAUGAUGUAUAGCCCUUGAGGCUUUGUUGAAAUCCCACAGAGGGAUUAAUGUUUAUGUAUAUGAUGAAUAUAGUGCAUGCACAGGUUGAGUUUGGUGAAUGAAGAAAAAGAAAAGUUUUUAAUUCUUAUGUAUGUUUGAUGAUCAUGUAUGGGAUUAAACAGGUGAACAGGAUGUAUGUAGGCUUGCUACGGGUUCCGGCGGCCUUAAGCCGACCUGAAUCCUAGCGCCGGUAGCGGUCCGGAUUUCCGGGGCGUUACA
rnacentral:lncRNA from 1 species